GGUUGUGUCGCCGCCAUCAUGGGGAGUAGCACAGGCUAGCGGUUGGGCCAUCGCCAUCUGUUCUGCUUCCUAACCUCUCUCCUCGUGCGCACCAGGAGAAGCACCGCUGCAGAAACGGACAAGGAUGUUUAGCUCUUUGGCCCGCCACCAGCCCUCGCUCUUCUCCUACCACUCUCCUCCGCAUUCAAUCUCAAUUUCUCAUCGGCGCUCAAAAGGACAAGCAAGCACGACCGUGAUGUUGAUUUGAACAGGGUACAGGAGCCUGAUUAUUUUGAUCAAAGGUUCCUUAUGGUAUACAAUAUUUAGUGGCAAAGAUUUGAUUGGCCUCACAGGUCAGUGAGUUCCGUUUGUUAUUUAACCUAUGUAUCAUGGCAAGCACAACUUUAGAUAUUGUAAAAUUUUCAAGUUCAAUGUAUGUCUUUAGAACUGAAGCAGCGGCGACAGGGCAUGUACAGGGAGCAGCGGCAGCAGAAAAAAUUGACAUGCUGGUGCACUGGAACCAUAAGGAACCUACAAAAAAUGGUCAAGCACAGUGCAUUGAAACCUCUUCAAUUUCCGUUCGGUUAGCACUUUUCCCGUUCACAAUAGGUCGUUUCCACUGUCCUUUUCUACUGCAUCUUGAAUGUGAAAAUUAGUAGAAUCAUCAUAGUUAUA